AGACCGCUGAGAUGUUCACUCUGCACUUUCAGCAGCACUCACAUUGAGAUAUGAGAAGACUGCAACAAGAACAAAAGGGUUGUGCCACCUCCUUUGGAUGUGAAGAGGAUGUGCUGACACGUGUGCUCGGGAGCCAGACUUUGUGGCCUUGGGGAAAGGACUGAAUAUUUCUGUGCUUCGUCGUUUGCAUCUGUGGAAUGCAGGUGGUGGGCCUUUUGAUGACAGCUAUGGAAAAGUCUUUCCAGAAAAAUGCACGUGCACAUAAAAUUAGAAUGUUUCCAAGAUACGCAUGGACCCUGUGAAACCCACUG
rnacentral:lncRNA from 1 species